rnacentral:rRNA from 1 species
GAUGAACGCUGGCGGCGUGCCUAAUACAUGCAAGUCGAACGAAACUUCUUUAUCACCGAGUGCUUGCACUCACCGAUAAAGAGUUGAGUGGCGAACGGGUGAGUAACACGUGGGCAACCUGCCCAAAAGAGGGGGAUAACACUUGGAAACAGGUGCUAAUACCGCAUAACCAUAGUUACCGCAUGGUAACUAUGUAAAAGGUGGCUAUACUACCGCUUUUGGAUGGGCCCGCGGCGCAUUAGCUAGUUGGUAGGGUAAAGGCUUACCAAGGCAAUGAUGCGUAGCCGAAUUGAGAGGUUGAUCGGCCACAUUGGGACUGAGACACGGCCCAAACUCCUACGGGAGGCAGCAGUAGGGAAUCUUCCACAAUGGGCGAAAGCCUGAUGGAGCAACGCCGCGUGGGAGAAGAAGGUCUUCGGAUCGUAAAACCCUGUUGUUAGAGAAGAAAGUGCGUGAGAGUAACUGUUCACGUUUCGACGGUAUCUAACCAGAAAGCCACGGCUAACUACGUG